CAGCACUAAUGCACCGGAUCCCAUCAGAACUCCGAAGUUAAGCGUGCUUGGGCGAGAGUAGUACUAAGAUGGGUGACCUCUUGGGAAGUCCUCGUGUUGCACCCC
rnacentral:rRNA from 1 species